UUUCUGAUUUCAGGCUAACUGUACAAUUUGUCGGUCUUUUGUAUUGCCAGACUGUGUUUGAUCAACAAAGUCCCACAAAACAGCCGCAGCAGGCUGCCACGCGCGCAUCAACUCAUUCACAGGUUUCCCCACUCGCCGAGGCUUUAUUGAAGGACAAUUAAGGCACCUGCGUUUCUAAAGCUCCCCCGCUGAAUGCCUGCCAUCCCGUUUCCUCACCCGUCUGUUCAUGUGGACCUUUGCUGCACGGCCUCUCGCUUCCUUAGCUUCCUCCGUAGCUCACCCGUGUACAGUUCUGCUGGCAAGGCCCAAUCGCUUGCCAUCACCCAGUCAUUGAUGUGGACACAAGAUCAUUUCUUGUUCGGCUUUUUAAAGGAUGCUUCCCCGAGAGAGGGUGAACGGAUGUCGCAUGCUUUGGAGUCUUGCUGGUUUCGUUGAAGUGAUUUUUAAGUCUUGAAUUACUGGGUAUUGGACAAGACAUGAUAUUAAGGAAUUAUUUAAAGGAAAAACAGCUUGGAUGAUUGCAAACCCUGCAGAUUCUCUGGCCCAAGUGGCCGAUGUAAGGCCAAGAAAGGAAUCAGACUGCAAGGAGGGGGUGUCUAAGAUCGAGAUGAAACACUAAAUCUGCAGGAAAAGAUACUCAAAACAAGUGAAAUUAUCUGUUCAUGCACCUAGAUAAUGUCACUUCGCAAGUCUUCUUGAUUUAGGAUUACAGUGUCAA